AAAGUCGUAACAAGGUUUCCGUAGGUGAACCUGCGGAAGGAUCAUUAUACGCUUUUGUUUGUACACAAAACAAAACGUUUUAAACUCCAAAAUAAAUAGUGGAAAUAUAACUUCCGGAUGCGAAUGUUGGGGAACUGAGUAAAAUUGGUUCUUUGAAAAAGGGACUUCAAGCAAUUGACACUUCAGAGUAGAGCAGUGAGGUGAAAUUCUCUUUUCGAAGAGAGUUUGGUUCUGAAAAACAUUUGGUAUCCGGUUAUCAUAAUCUGUUCUACAACCCCAAAAUAUCAACCAAUAAACCCCAUGUAAAACAACUUGAACUAAACAAAUUUUUUUUGUUGUCUAUUCUUGCACUUGUGUGAGAAGAUGCAAAGAAAAAACCUGAACUUAAGAACAACUCUUAAACAACGGAUAUCUUGGUUCUCGUAUCGAUGAAGAACGCAGCGAAAUGCGAUACGUAAUGCGAAUUGCCAGAAUUCAGUGAAAUCAUCAAAUCUUUGGAACGCAAGAUUGGCGCUCUGCGGGAUAGGCCUGAGAGCACGCCUCUUUGAGUAUCGAUUCCACCACUUCCAGAACAAACUUUGUUUUGACACUGGGAAUUUGAGUGAUUCAUAUCUCUUUGUUGAGAUGUGUCACUUGAAGCGGAAUGGAAUUGAGGGUCUGCGAAACUGCUGUUGAAUAUUCAUAGGCUGAAGUGGACUUGAAACAUGGAUAAAUUUCCAAUGAUCAAUAAACUUUGGCUAUUUUGAUAUCAGCGAAUCUAAAGUUUUGCAAACAAACAGCCCUCUCCUAACUAAUACCUAAAACUAUCUAAGAAUUAGAUCUCAAAUGAAGCGAGACAACCCGCUGAACUUAA
rnacentral:rRNA from 1 species